rnacentral:rRNA from 1 species
UGGGGAAUAUUGCGCAAUGGGGGAAACCCUGACCCAGCAACGCCGCGUGAAGGAUGAAGUAUUUCGGUAUGUAAACUUCGAAAGAAUAGGAAGAAUAAAUGACGGUACUAUUUAUAAGGUCCGGCUAACUACGUGCCAGCAGCCGCGGUAAUACGUAGGGACCAAGCGUUGUUCGGAUUUACUGGGCGUAAAGGGCGCGUAGGCGGCAUGACAAGUCACUUGUGAAAUCUCUGGGCUUAACCCAGAACGGCCAAGUGAUACUGUCGCGCUAGAGUGCAGAAGGGGCAAUCGGAAUUCUUGGUGUAGCGGUGAAAUGCGUAGAUAUCAAGAGGAACACCUGAGGUGAAGACGGGUUGCUGGGCUGACACUGACGCUGAGGCGCGAAAGCCAGGGGAGCAAACGGGGAUUAGAUACCCCCGUAGUCCCUGAGCGGGCUGGCAAGGCGCAU